GUCGCUUCUCGGCCUUUUGGCUAAGAUCAUGUGUAGUAUCUGUUCUUAUCAGUUUAAUAUCUGAUACGUUCUCUAUCCGAGAACGCCAUAUUAAGCGCAUUUUUAGAACGGAGUCGGCACAGGGGCUUGCUCCGGCCGCUCCACGCAUCGGCUCGGUAUUGCAGUGCUUCCGAGAGCUAUUUUUGGGGCAGCCGUG